rnacentral:rRNA from 1 species
GAUGAACGCUGGCGGCGUGCCUAAUACAUGCAAGUCGAGCGAACCACUUCGGUGGUGAGCGGCGAACGGGUGAGUAACACGUAGGUGAUCUGCCCAUCAGACGGGGACAACGAUUGGAAACGAUCGCCAAUACCGGAUAGGACGAAAGUUUAAAGGUGCUUCUGGCACCACUGAUGGAUGAGCCUGCGGCGCAUUAGCUAGUUGGUAGGGUAAAGGCCUACCAAGGCGACGAUGCGUAGCCGACCUGAGAGGGUGAACGGCCACACUGGGACUGAGACACGGCCCAGACUCCUACGGGAGGCAGCAGUAGGGAAUCUUCGGCAAUGGGCGAAAGCCUGACCGAGCAACGCCGCGUGAAUGAUGAAGGCCUUCGGGCUGUAAAAUUCUGUUAUAAGGGAAGAACGACUUUAGUAGGAAAUGGCUAGAGUGUGACGGUACCUUAUGAGAAAGCCACGGCUAACUACGUGCCAGCCGCCGCGGUAAAAC